AGUCAUCUUUUCCUUGGCAUUUUGAAUAACAAGUUCAGUGAGAUAAAGCACAAUGAAGAUCUUUUGAAGAAGCAUCUGGAAUUCAUCUGUGUAAAGAAAUCACAAAAUCAUGGGAUUGCAGUGACUCUGUCAUCACUGGAUUUCAGCAGAAGUGUGGCACAUCCCAGGAUAGAUUCCACCACUGUGGAAGCACAGCCCUCAGGGUUCCCUAGGGUUACUCUUGAACACGUGUAAAUCAG
rnacentral:lncRNA from 1 species